AUGGAACUUAAUCUCAACAGUCACCUGAGUUGAAGAUAGAGUUUGAGGAGUCAUCCCAAUAUGGAUAGCAUUUGUUGUAAAUUAGAAGGUGGUAAAAACUUGCCUUUGGAAAAAAGUUUAAAAAUUGCAGUGAGACUUAUGAAUACUCUUCAACUUCACCUGUUGGAAUAAAGGUCUUUCUUGUAAUCAGGAGAUCCUGUUGACAUGAUAAAACAGAAAGAGUCAAAGAGGAUCAGAAAUAAAUGAAAUCUCUGACAACUAAACUGCUUAUGUGUUUAUCCUGUUGACUGAUUCUUUUCUGGAUUGUGCUCCUUGUGGGCAGGUUUAUUCUACAGGCCCCCAUUCAUUCCUCAGGAGUAACGCAGAAGGGACACUGACCAGCACAGCAGAGAGGGAGGUGUUUAAAAUGGAUUCUGUGGGUGUAGAGCCACUGUUUUCCCUGCAAAUGGUCUAGCAAAUCAACAGACUAUGUCCUCCUCUCCUACGUUUUGUCUGACAAGCAGCAUUUUUUUAAUAAAAGACAGGUGAACGAGUAAAUGAAUGCAGUGCAGAUCCAGUGCAGAUAGCUGCCUGCUGGCUGUGUUGGAACCAGGGAGACGUCAAAUGGGUAGGGUAUGAGUCGCUCUCAUCACUCAAACCCAAAGGGUUUCAAAUUUAGUGAUUGUUUUCUAUCUAAUGGCAGAAGGUGCUGAUUCUUCCUUGUUAUCAACAAUAACCCCCUGAAUACACCUGUGAAAGAACUCUCAAGCCCCUUGUGCCUGGGAUUUCUUAUCCUACAGGACACUGUAACCUGG